CCUACGGGUGGCAGCAGUGAGGAAUAUUGGUCAAUGGGCGGGAGCCUGAACCAGCCAAGCCGCGUGAGGGAAGAAGGUACAGCGUAUCGUAAACCUCUUUUGUCAGGGAACAAAGGCGGGGACUAGUCCCCGGAUGAGGGUACCUGAAGAAAAAGCAUCGGCUAACUCCGUGCCAGAAGCCGCGGUAAUACCGAGGAUGCGAGCGGUACACGGAAUCAAUGGGCGUAAAGAGCGCGUAGGCGGGAUAGUAAGUCCGAGUUUAAAUCAUAGGGCUUAACCAUAGAACUGCAUUUGAAACUGUUAUUCUAGAGUAUGGGAGAGGUAGGUGGAAUUCUUGGUGUAGGGGUAAAAUCCGUAGAGAUCAAGAGGAAUACUCAUUGCGAAGGCGACCUGCUAGAACAUAACUGACGCUGAUGCGCGAAAGCGUGGGGAGCAAACAGGAUUAGAUACCCCUGUAGU
rnacentral:rRNA from 1 species